rnacentral:rRNA from 1 species
GAUGAACGCUGGCGGCGUGCCUAAUACAUGCAAGUCGAGCGAACAGACGAUGAGCUUUCGCCUCUGACGUUAGCGGCUGACGGGUGAGUAACACGUGCAUAACCUACCUAUAAUACUGGGAUAACUUCGUGAAACCGGAGCUAAUACCGGAUAAUAUAUUGAACCGCAUGGUUCAAUAGUGAAACACGGUUUUGCUGUCACUAAUAGAUGGAGCCGCACCGCAUUUGCUAGGUGGUAAGGUAACAGCCUAGCAAGGCAACGAUGCGUAGCCGACCUGAGAGGGUGAUCCGCCACACUGGAAACUAGGAAAGGUCCCGAAUCCUACGGGAGGCAGCCGUAGGGAAUCUUCCGCCAUGGGCGAAAGCUUGGCGGAGGCCAGCCGCGUGAGUGAUGAAGGUCUUCCGAUCUUAAAACUCUGUUAUUAGGGAAGAAAAAGUGUGUAAGUAACUCUGCACGUCUUGACGGUAACCAAUAGGAAAGGCACGGGUAACUACGUG